rnacentral:lncRNA from 1 species
UCCACGUUAAGAUUUGCCUCUUCGGUCCCACAAGUAAGAAAUACCAAAAGAAAUUGUAUUUUAUGUAAAACUUAAGAAGUCCAGCUCAUUCAUUAGAAAACCAAGCAAGUUAAACAUUAGGCCCUUACUGAAAUGUACGCCUGGUCUCUCUUAAGAUAAAAGCUAGUUGAUUAUAAGAGACCACAUAUCCACUUCCCUUCCCUUCCCUUCCCUUCCCCUGGCACAUCCCAGNNNNNNNNNNUGUUAUAAAUGGCUCAGGAUUCAAAUUAGGAUUAAAUAAAAAAAUAGGAUUUAUUAAAAGAAUAUAAAGGAAUAGAGGUAAGCAAACAGCGCUGGGUGCACCGGGAGUCUCCGCUCCACCAGGACGCACACCAGUUACAUCAAGCAGCUGAUUUUUAUGCACCUAGACUAAUACAUAUUCAUUACUACUUCUAAAAAAGUAGAUUAUUAUAAUUAGCUUCCGGGGUCCAGUUCCUCCUACUGGAGCAUGCGCAUCAGUCUCCUCUGGGGGUCUCUAGGGGUCUUUCAUGCUGAAGGCUCGUAGUCUUCCUCUCACCCUUUGCACUUACUUGGCACUAUUCCAAGUUUAUGGAACACUCUCUGUAAACUCUCCCAGGUCUUGUCUCCCAACCGUCCUUCAGCUUCUUUUCUCUUCCUCUCACCCUUUGCACUUACUUGGCACUAUUCCAAGUUUAUGGAACACUCUCUGUAAACUCUCCCAGGUCUUGUCUCCCAACCGUCCUUCAGCUUCUUUUCUCUUCCUCUUAAUCUCUUGGCCCCCUGGCCAGAUACCAAAGAUCCACAUAGUAUCCCAUAACAGUCACUAGUUGUUAUCAGUUGUUCUGAAACUCCCAGACAUCAAACACAAACAGCUUUCUUAUUUGACGCUUCACGAGUAAUUAAAACAUUCUUCCCCAGCCAUUCACAGACACAUCUAUAGCAGUGUUAAGUUAAUCUCGAAGAAGACAGGAAAAAAGGCUGUAACUGUUAGAACUAGAAGUCAGGAAUAACAAAAGCAAACAGGUUCAUAAAUUUAAGGAGUGUUUUCUGAAGACGUGAUAAAUUGACUGGAAUGAGGGGGAGACUGGGACACACUGCAUCUGUGGUUCAAGAACUAAAUUGCCAGUGCAGGGCCCAGGCAGACAGGAUUCAAACAGAAUUGUUCUUUAUGGACACGAAUUUAUGGACACGAAUUUAUGGACACGAAUUGGAAUUGUUAAAACAUUCCUCACACCAGCCAUGUGCCAAGAAACCCCAGCCAGCUGAGGGCAUGCUAGUCAAGUUCUAGCAGCAGCUGUAAAUCAUUCUUUACAUUAACAUGGGACACCUGCUAUAAAAAUUUCCCUUUCUUUUUUGCAAAGACUGUAAUGGUCUUCAGAAAGUUUGCUUUACAUUGCCUGUGGCUCAAAGCAGACGGAAUGCAAGACUGAAAGUGCUUGGUAGUUCCUAAAGAAAUCUAGAACGCCUACAUGCUUUUUAAUUACAUAGCUAUACGUGCACUUGAUUAAAUUAAAAAACAAUUACCGCAAUUUAUGAUAUGAAUCAACUCUUUGGCAAACUGUGAUUGCAGCUGAUUUAUUUAUUUAAUUUUUUUUUGUGUGGAUUCUCUGUAAUUGAUACUGGCUGAUGUUUCUCCUUACAGCAGAAUGCCAAAAGGCAGUUAGUUACUCUGUGGGCGCUCUGGCUGUUCAUUUCUGGAGUGACAUGAGCCUUUUUCUCUUCCUGAGGGAGGCUGAAUGGAGGUGGCAAUUUGUUUAUUGGCCUUAGUAAAGUUGAAUUACAAAAUAAGAGAUGCCAAGAGCCCACGCUGAAAACCAUGGUGUGAAUGAGAGUCUCGUGGUGUACAGAUUGGUACGUAAAGAGGGACCCCUGCGUGGAGUGCAAGUUCAUGAUGCACCACUAAGUUCCUUGAUACUCUUUCAUAAAUAUGGAUGGGUAUUUGUUAGGAAAGGCAAGUAUUUUGCUGGUGUAGAUACAUAAUCCUGUCUUUGAAGAAAGUGACAGAUGUACAUAUUUGCUGAAAAUAUCCCAGAAAUUCACACUUUUGCAAAACAGUUUCUCACCUCCUUUUGUUUAACAGCAGUAUCCACAACAGGAUCCUUUCUAUAGGGGAUACAAAUGCUCAAAGUAGUGAAACAACUUCAUAAAUAACACCCAUGGACUUGCAUGACUUUGCAGAAGCUCAAUAAAAUUCUCAGCCCAAGCUAUCCUGACA